UACAGAGGUCUCAAGCGUUGUUCGGAUUCAUUGGGGCGUAAAGGGUGCGUAGGCGGCGGGGUAAGUCUGAUGUGGAAAGGCCGGGGCUCAACCUCGGGACUGCAUUGGAUACUGCCUUGCUCGAGACUGGAGAGGAGACUGGAAUUUACGGUGUAGCAGUGAAAUGCGUAGAGAUCGUAAGGAAGACCAGUGGACGGAAGGCGAGUCUCUGGACAGAUUCUGACGGCUGAGGCACGAAGGCCAGGGGAGCAAACGGG
rnacentral:rRNA from 1 species